AUGGCGAAAGCACGGCGGUCCGUCGUCCUCGCGCUCAGGAUCGGGACCGCGGCGGCGGCCGGCGUCGCGGCGAUAGUCAUGGCCACGAGCCACAAGACGACCACCGUCUUCGGCGUGCAGGUGCAGGCCAAGUUCCAAUACACGCCGUCCUUCGUGUUCUUCGUGGCCGCCAACGUCGUCGCGUGCGCCUACAGCCUCCUCGCCCUCCUCGUGCCGCCGGCGAGCCCCGCCGCGAGGCACGUCCUCGUGGCCGACGCGGCGCUCGGCAUGGUGCUCACCGGCGCCGCCGCGGCCGCGGCCGCCAUAUCGGCCCUGGGGAAGAACGGGAACAGCCAUGCCGGCUGGCAGCCGAUCUGCGGGCUAGUACCCACUUUCUGCGACCAUGUCACGGGAGCUCUCGCCUGUGGCUUCGUCGCGGUCGUCCUUCACUUGCUCGUCGUUCUCCAUUCCAUUUACACCAUGAACAGCUAG
rnacentral:rRNA from 1 species